CCGGCUUUUGGUGUCACGUUAAGACAAAUUAGCCUUUUUCGUUUUAAAAAACUGACGGAAACAAAGCAUUUUGCUCCGCUCUCCUCAGCAAAAGCUUUGCUAGAAGCCUGUAUUGGAGAGGGAAAUACGUUAUUAUUAGUAAUUAACUGGAUGUACGUUUUAAUUCUACGCAGUGGUUCUUUCCCGGGCUGCAGCAAGUCCCCCCCGUGCCCGACUCGCGGCUGCAGCGACUACCCAAGUGCGAGGUGCCGGCAGGGCGGGGAGGAGCGGGCCCUGCCUUGGCAAGACGGUGGAGCGGGAAAGCGGGGUCUCCGGCCGGACAGACGGACGCCUGCGCGCAGCCUUGCUGGCGGGAGCAGGAGGGGGCCCCCGUGCCCGGCACCCCCACGCUGGCGCUGCCCGGCCCCCCGGCAGCUGCCGGGUCCGUGCGGGGCGCGCGUCCCCGUCCCUCGAGCGCGCUCCUAACGUUUCACUUUUUCUGUCUUAGCCUAUAACAUCGGGAUUUGAAAGGAAACCUCCCACCUCAAGUGCCGUUCUUGAGAGUAAUGGAAGAAUUGUCAAAUCGUGCCCAGGAAAAUGUAACCGGGGAUCUCGGAAGCGGAGAGGAGCAGGUCAAAGAAGAGUCAUCGUCCUUUAAGUGCCAAGAAGAGGCCUUCCACCCCCUGGUGCAAGAAGACUUUGAACAGACCUGCGCAGCUGCUCUGCAGGGAGGUGUCCCAGGACCAACGAGCACCCUUUUCUGCAGGGACAGCAGAGGAUAUCCCGGAGCACUAGUUUGUUUCUUACUGUCUUUACGUGUUGGACCAUCUCCGGCUGCUGCGGGCCCUGCUGUGCCCACCUCUGGCUGAGGCACACCUUGCUGGUACCGGUUCACCUAAACCACGCUUACUGAACGGUAUCAGUGGGAAUACGAGUCUUUACUGGUGGGAUCCAAACCAGGCAGGAUGCAAAUCCUUGCAAAAGACAUAAAUGAGGAAAGGAAAACCUGCCUGGGAAGGCCUUGCUGGUGACGCUUCUCCUCGCCGUCACCCGAUGCGAUCGUAGGGAUGCAUCCAGAGCUCGGGCUGCAUUACCCGGGAGAGCAAACCCCCACCUCCUGCUCACGGCUCUCAGCAGAGCAUCUGCAGGGUCUCUCCCCUGCAACUGUGCAGUUGUGCAGCUGGGGGGGAUGCCACCACGUUUUGGAGAGAGCGUGCCUUUUGGCACAAGCCCCGGUGGCAAUCACGGGCUCGCUGGGCACGUGCUCCACGUGGAGCCCCCGACAGCGUGGUUCUGCUGGUAUCUCCUAACGCAUGACCCUCUGUACCAGAUACACGUAUGCACGCGCGUGUGCAAUGUGCUUUAAUAACGUACUCAGUUAAACACGCCAUUAUUUGUGCCCCUACAAAUAAGAGUCGCGGUGGCCGGU